rnacentral:lncRNA from 1 species
CCCCCCUCGCCCUCACCACCCUAGGCUCGCUCACUUUCAACUCGCGGUGAGCGCCGCCAUGUCUACUCCUACUCUCUUUUCCCGGUGUCUCCUUCGGACUCGCACCGGGUCCACUGGGCCCGCAUGCAGAUUCACUAUUGGCCCCACCUGGAAGAAGCAAUUUUAACAAUCUCUCGCGGCUCCGGCGUUUCAGGGCGGAGGAGCCCUCAACUACUUUGCAUACCCCGCCCCUUCCCCAGGAAGGCGUGGCUACCGCCAGGGACUUCCUCUCUUCCGCGCACCCACUGACAAAAACAGAACCCGGCAUGAAGAUGUGAAUUUGCUGUCAACAUACAUUAUAUACAAACAGAAUAUGAUAAAUUGUGAUAUAAAGGUGUAUUAAGAAUUGUACGUAAAAAAUAUAAGAGAGCUCAUGUGUAAUGGCAUAAUUUGGCGUGAACAUUCUUUAUAUAGUUACGAAAAAUUGUGCUGUGAAUGGAUAUUUAUGAAUGUAAUGCACUUCACUAUUGUCAUGUAUGUAAGAAAUAAAUAAAUAAAUGGAUUAAUAAA